UAGGGAAUAUUCCACAAUGAGCGAAAGCUUGAUGGAGCGACACAGCGUGCACGAUGAAGGCCCUCGGGUUGUAAAGUGCUGUUGCAAGGGAAGAACAGUUAGUUGAGGAAAUGCUUCUAAUCUGACGGUACCUUGUUAGAAAGCGAUGGCUAACUAUGUGCCAGCAGCCGCGGUAAUACAUAGGUCGCAAGCGUUAUCCGGAAUUAUUGGGCGUAAAGCGUUCGUAGGCUGUUUAUUAAGUCUGGAGUCAAAUCCCAGGGCUCAACCCUGGCUCGCUUUGGAUACUGGUAAACUAGAGUUAGAUAGAGGUAAGCGGAAUUCCAUGUGGAGCGGUGAAAUGCGUAGAUAUAUGGAAGAACACCAAAGGCGAAGGCAGCUUACUGGGUCUAUACUGACGCUGAGGGACGAAAGCGUGGGGAGCAAACAGGAUUAGAUACCCUGGUAGUCCACGCUGUAAACGAUGAUCAUUAGUCGGUGGAACACUACUGACGCAGCUAACGCAUUAAAUGAUCCGCCUGAGUAGUAUGCUCGCAAGAGUG
rnacentral:rRNA from 1 species